UACGUAGGGGGCAAGCGUUGUCCGGAAUCAUUGGGCGUAAAGAGCGUGUAGGCGGCCCGGUCAGUCCGCCGUGAAAGUCCAGGGCUCAACCCUGGAAUGCCGGUGGAUACUGCCGGGCUGGAGUCCGGAAGAGGCGAGUGGAAUUCCUGGUGUAGCGGUGAAAUGCGCAGAUAUCAGGAGGAACACCGGUGGCGAAGGCGGGUCUCUGGGCCGAUACUGACGCUGAGGAGCGAAAGCCAGGGGAGCAAACGGG
rnacentral:rRNA from 1 species